UACGUAGGGGGCUAGCGUUGUCCGGAAUCAUUGGGCGUAAAGCGCGUGUAGGCGGUUCGGUAAGUCCGCUGUGAAAGUCGGGGGCUCAACCCUCGGAAGCCGGUGGAUACUGUCGGGCUAGAGUGCGGAAGAGGCGAGUGGAAUUCCUGGUGUAGCGGUGAAAUGCGCAGAUAUCAGGAGGAACACCAAUUGCGAAGGCAGCUCGCUGGGACGUAACUGACGCUGAGACGCGAAAGCGUGGGGAGCAAACAGG
rnacentral:rRNA from 1 species